AUCCCAUGAUGAGGACACUUACAAAGUAAUUCCUUGAAUCUUUCCCAUGUCUCAUACAAAGAUUCAAUAUUUUACCAAAAACCUUUCUACUAAUUCUUGAACUU
rnacentral:snoRNA from 1 species